CGCAUGCGCUGAAGUGUAGCGCUCGUUUGACAGGCGACUGUUUUAUUCUGUCGGAGACUUCAAUUUAUUAUUUCACAUCAUGUCGCGUUACGGGCGACACGGAGGCGAAACAAAGGUGUAUGUGGGUAAUCUGGGCACUGGAGCAGGUAAAGGUGAGCUGGAGCGGGCGUUUGGAUAUUACGGGCCGCUCAGAACUGUGUGGAUCGCUCGCAACCCUCCAGGAUUCGCCUUCGUGGAGUUUGAAGACCCGAGAGAUGCAGAGGAUGCUGUCCGUGGGAUUGAUGGCAAGAUGAUUUGUGGAUCUCGAGUGCGUGUGGAAUUAUCCACCGGAAUGCCACGGCGUUCCCGAUACGAUCGUCCUCCCACUCGCCGUCCUUUCGACCCGAACGACCGCUGCUACGAGUGUGGCGAGAAGGGCCACUACGCGUACGACUGUCACCGCUACAAUCGCCGUCGACGGAGCAGGUUUCAUCGUUUGAUUCAGAGAGUCACGAUCCUUUACGAUUUCAUGAGGGAUCUUGCAAAUCUCACACUUACGAUCGCCUGCUAUGACUGGGGGACGAGCAGCCACACCCCUUCGCUGAGGCUCCUCCCACUGCUACUUAACUAUUCGUAGCCCCUCCCCCCCAACCCAAACCAGAUGAGAGCGCCAAUCUGAGUAAAUUCGGCUAGCGAUUUGUGUCUACGGUUUUGCUAAAGAGAGCAUCGAGAGCCCUCGAGAGACCACGUCUAGACAAAAGCGCCUUGCACACUUCUAUCAAGUCUCAGUCAAGUGAUUUGGCUGUCAGUGCGAUCAUCGUUAGAAAUCCAAGAGAACGACUAGAUGCAGAGGUCGCCUGACGAUAGAUACUUCUAGAUCGUCUAGAUCUGCGCGACCUUGCGGGUCGACCUGCAGACUUGACAGGUUUAUUUCAAGUACCAAUUAAUGUGUCUCUCUGUAUAUGAUUGCCAUUGAGUGAGCUCAAGUGAGUGGUAAUGUUUAAUGCUGUGAUCUGUGGAACAGAGAGGAUGUGUUGGAUGCUUAAGACAGCUGAGAUCUGUGCUAGGGCUGGGCGAUACAGCUGAAGCAGUGUAAGUGACCAUCAUUUUACUUGGGUCCGUGAUGUGAUGCACCAGAUCUAUUCAAUUACUAAAAACAUUCAAUUAAUGAUCAAGUUGUCUCAACUCAUUUAGGGUGCAAUACAUUUAUUUUAAUACUUUUUACUCGAUAGUUACACAUGACAAUUUAAAAGUCUUUAAAUAUAUUUUUUGUAGAUAAUUCUAUAAACAUAAAAAAAAAAAAAAAUGAAAAACCAACAUGGAUGUAAAGAUCAAAUUUCUACUAAAUGAACAUGAGUUUUAAACUAGGUUUUUUAUUAAAUAAAUUGUUAUAUAUAAUUAUCCUUAAAUAUAUACAGCUCUGGGAAAAAUAGGAUUUACUGGAUUUACUCUUUAUAGGUGUUUGAGUAAAAUGAACAUGUUUGUUUUUAUUCUAUAAAGUAAAUAGUAAAUCCAGAGAAACUGAUUAUUUUGCAGUGGUCUAUUUUUCCAGAGUUGUACACACUCAUUGAAAACUAUUCGAUAGAUCGCUAUUGAUCCACUUAUUCAUGCGGUUAUCUAAUCAGCCAAUCGUGUGACAGCACUGCAGUGUAUAAAUAAUGCAGAUACGGGUCAGGAGCUUCAGUUAAUGUGCACAUCAACCAUCAGAAUGGGGUCAAAUGUGAUCUCAGUGAUUUGGAGGGUGGCAUGAUUGUUGGUGUCAGAUGAGCUGGUUUGAGUAUUUCUGGUAUUUUCACACACACACAAUCUCUAGAAUUUACUCUGAAUGUGCCAAAAACACAAAACAUCCAGUGAGCGGCAGUUCUGCGGAUGGAAACGUCUUGUUGAUGAGAGAGGUCAACAAACAAUGGCCAGAUUGGUUCAAGCUGACAGGAAGGUGACAGUAACCCAAAUAAACUCGUGUUACAACAGUGCUAUGCAGAAAAGCAUUUCUGACACACAACACGUCGAACAUUGAGGCGGAUGGGCUACAGCAGCAGAUGACCCCUCCAGGUACCACUAGAACAGGAAACUGUAAUGAUUGAAACCAUUUUAAAAUAACCAUUUUCCCCCAUUCUGAUGGUUGAUGUGAACAUUAAAUGAAGCUCCUGAUCCGUAUCUGCAUGAUUUUAUGAACUGAACUGCUGCCACAUUAUUGGCUGAUUAGAUAACCGCAUGAAUAACUGGAUGUACUGGUGUACCUGAUAAAGUGAUCACUGAGUGUGUGUGUGUGUGUGUGUAUCAAUAUUUAUCUAUUUGCCCUGAAAUGGCUCAAAAGAGUGGAUUUUGUUUUAAUCAGAUUAUAAUUUCAACCAAAACAGUCCAAAAUGUUAAAUACAAGAAGUAAAAUACCCCUAAAAUAUCUAGUUAAAAUAAUCCAGACCAGUUUUCCACCGUUUUUCAUUAAAUGCACACAAGAAUAAUAUUUAUCAAUAUAUAGAUAUUGGAACAAUAUGGCAAUACAGUAGUUACAAAACAAAUGUUUGAAUCUGACCGUUUGAAUCGAUUCAUGGGAACCGGAUGUACCAGCUCCGGCGGAAAUAUGAGUUUCUCUCAAAACAUGUUCAGAAAAUGUCCUGGUCCUAUUUGACUCUAAAAGCAAAAGAAACAAAUACAACAUUUUAUUUUGCAUAUAGAAAAUGAAGCUUAUUUAAGAUUGUUUUACAUUGUGACAUUAUUGUCAUGUCAGUUAUGCACAUGUAAUCCUCAUUAAUGCAACGCUAGUAAUGAUAGUAAAUAAGACAUUCUCAUGAACGCAAUGUGAAGGAAAAUAUUAUUUAUAUUGUAAAGUAUUCAAGCAUUAUAGUAGUACUCCCUUUUAUUUUCACUGAUUUAAUAUAUUUAAAAAAUCCAAAUGACUUGCAGCAAUGAUAACUGAGGGAGAUAUACUGUUAGAAUAUACUGGAAAUAAUGUACAAUGCAAGAAAUCUUAAUGUCCUAAACAUAGGCUCAUUCAUGUAGGCUUCGUUUUCUUUAUGCAAAAUAUAAAUUAAUAUUUUAUGUAUUGUUUUGUGAUAAUCCCACACAGUUUUAUCUUAAUGAAACUUAAUGACCAAAGUAAAAUGCGCAUUAAAUGAAUUAUUCAGAAUGUUGAUUAAUUUAAUAUCGUCAGCACUAUCACGUCAAAUAAAUAUUAUUGAUGUAUCGCCCAGCUCUAUGUUGUAUUUAUGUGCAAUGUUCAAGUGAUUGUGUAGUUCAGAUGAUUCAGUGAAUCUUUCCAAGUGAUUCCUGAUGUGACACUGACACUGCUCUCUCUGUCCCCUCUGUCCUUCCUCCUCCUCUUCUUCAUUCCUCUGGACUCGUUCAGGUCUCGCUCUCGUGGAAGGAGGUAUGCACGCUCUCGCAGCCGCAGCCGAGGCAGACGAUCCAGGUCUUUCUCUCCUCACCGCUCUCGCUCGGGAUCUCCCAGACGCUCCAGAUCUGGGACGCCCAAGAGAUCCAGAUCCAGAUCCCUG